AGGUGUACACACCUGCAGGGCAUUACCAGCGCUGCAACUCCCUGUUUGCAGCGCUGGCCGUACACCCGGUCGAACCUCGGGUGUAGAGGAUCCAGCGCUGGAUCACCAGCGCUGGUCAUCAGGUGUAGACACUCACCAGCAUUUUUCUUGACCUCCGUGGAAUAAGCAGGUAUCCCAGCAUACCUGAGGAAGCCUCUCCGGUAAUCAAGAAAACUCCACUGCCUUGUGCUCACCUGACCCCUCCUUUAAAUGCUCAGCUGUAGUGUAGUCUCCUUCCCCGCGGUUUGCUCCGGUGUUCCCCGACCCCCCCUCCAAGCAGGUCUCCUUCCCCGCGGUGUGCUCCAGUGUUCCCCGACCUCCUCUCCAAGCAGGUCUCCUUCCCCGCGGUGUGCUCCGGUGUUCCCCGACCUCCCCUCCAAGCAGGUCUCCUUCCCCGCGGUGUGCUCCGGUGUUCCCCGACCUCCCCUCCAAGCAGGUCUCCUUCCCCGCGGUGUGCUCCGGUGUUUCCCACCCCCCCCCCCCCCAGCACGGAGGCAGCCACGCGGUGUCCCUGCGCUGCAGGGUAGGGGCGAGCUCAGCACACAGUGCUGGCAACAUUCAUCAAUAAGUUCGUCAGCUGCUCAGGAUCCAUUCAUUAAAAAAAAUCGCAGAAAAAUCGCUGUACAAUCA